rnacentral:lncRNA from 1 species
UAUCACUCAAAUAUAUCUCAAUUCAAUCUUAAUUUAAUUCUAAUUAAAAUCCUAUUGAACUUCAUUAAAACUUUAGGCCAAAACUAAUUGAAUCUUAAAUCCUAAUAAAAUCCUAAAACUUAAAUCAAAUCCUAAACAAACCUUAAACCAAAUCCCAACCAAAUCCUAAAUCAAAUCCUAACCAAAUCCUAAAGCAAAUACUAAACCCUAAAUAAAAUCCUAAAUAAAUCCUAAAAUAAACCUUAAUCUAAAUCCUAAUCAAAUCCUAAAUCAAAUCCUAAACUCUAAAUAAAAUCUUAACUAAAUCCUAAACCAAAUCCUAAUCCAAAUCCUAAAUCCUAAACCAAACCCUAAAUCCUAAAACAAACCCUAAUCAAAUCCUAAUCCUAAACUAAAUCCUAAUCCAAAUCCUAAUCAAUCCUUAAACCAAAUCCUAACUAAAUCCUAACCAGUCCCUAAACCAAUUCCUAGUAAUUCCUACAACAGAUUUAAACCUCAAUAACUAAUUAAUAACUGUUGAUCUUAACUCAAUUUUUUUAUACUUCUUAAAAACUAAGUUUAAAACAAGCACAAAAAAAUUGAAAGGGAUCGGAGUUACCAAAUUGACGAUAUCUUCAAAAAUGUGCUCGGGUAAUGGUCGACCUCCUUCUCCAAUCUUGAUGCCAAUUUUCCAAAGCCAAUAUCUCUCCUUUACACCGUUCGAUUCAUCUCAAAAUUCUCAUACACAUAGAAAAAUAAGUCUAAUAUCCUCUCACAUAAGUUUUACUUCAAUUCAACUAGUAGAUUGUACAAAAUCUUAAAAAACCCUAUUGGACCUAAAAUUCUACUUUUUGAGACCUUGAUCCACUUAAACCUCAAUAUCCCUAAAUUCAACCGUUAGAUCGAGCUCAAUUUCAUGAUUUAU